GAGGAUGUUACUCUCAGUCUUGACUGGCUAAUAAAGUUACACCAUUACACAGUUAAUUCGCGUUUAUUGUUAUAUUUACAAAAUACCACCGUUUUUGUCGUAUCAUGUUAUUUUGUUGCAUUUAUCCGCCACACCGUGAAAAUACUGUCUGACGUUAAACCGGCCAGUGGAGCAGCGAAGGUUGGGGACCGCUGCUCUACAGCCGUAAUCAAUCCCGGCCCUUUCAGUUGUAAUGAGGCUUGCUGUUUACGCUUCAGUGCCAGGCAGUCAGCAACAAGGUGAUCCUUUAAUAACAGUAUUCACCAUCAUGUGGACGUGAGGGGGUCUCACGACCAGACUCAAGCCUCGCACGGCGCAACUCGACAUUAACGUCACCUUGUGUUCAUUUACGAACAUUAUUCAUCUCUCGGGUAAGGAUGCUUAAAAUCCUCCAAUAGCAUUAGCUCACGAGGUGACUCAUAAUCAUCAUUAACUGUCUAAUUAGUGACCUGAGCUGUAAAGCAGGGCUGGGAGAGCUGCGUUCACAUGUUGGCGCCAUACUCUGCGCCCUUCUCUAAACAAACGCUUCUUAUAGCAAAGACACUGUCCUUCAUUUCAGCUAAACUUCCACUCGAAGACGUUCAAACGAUGCCUGGAGCGCAAAAGACCGCAGUACUGCCAGGUGGGCGUGUCUCAGUAGCUAUGCCAUGAAAACUACACAGAAAAGCCGCACGUGAAGUCAACGCGAAGCAUGCGCAUGCGCCACGGCCAAAGGCGCUGAACGUUCGAACCGACGUCACGUCAGGUCCUGAUGGUCAAAAGUACACAACUAUCCAGAUCUAGUGUGAGGACGGAGAGUGAAAGAUUGGAAAAAGUGAUCAUUUGUGCAAAGCUGUCGCCAAAACGUGAAUUCACGGACGAGAUUGUGGAAACAUGAACGUGAUCCCAUUAGAUGAACGUGCUGAACCGAGGUGCAGUCAUCUCAGCGUGCCUCUGUUUAGAUUUGGAGACAUUGAACGAUGCCUCAGAAACUAUUUAGACGAUUUAUCGCUCAGACAGUGGACGGCAUUAGCCACCGAUGACGUCUCCUCGGAUGUCGUCGAUCUGCUGAGCGAGAUGUG